GAUCCUGGCUUAGGACGAACGCUGGCGGCGUGCCUAACACAUGCAAGUCGAGCGAGGAGAUUCCUCGGGAUGAUCCUAGUGGCGGACGGGUGAGUAACACGUGGGCAACCUGCCUCAUAGAGAGGAAUAGCCUUCCGAAAGGGAGAUUAAUACCUCAUAACAUUGCAGUUUCGCAUGGAACAGCAAUUAAAGGAGUAAUCCGCUAUGAGAUGGGCCCGCGGCGCAUUAGCUAGUUGGUGAGGUAACGGCUCACCAAGGCGACGAUGCGUAGCCGACCUGAGAGGGUGAUCGGCCACAUUGGGACUGAGACACGGCCCAGACUCCUACGGGAGGCAGCAGUGGGGAAUAUUGCACAAUGGGGGAAACCCUGAUGCAGCCAACGCCGCGUGAGUGAUGACGGCCUUCGGGUUGUAAAGCUCUGUCUUCAGGGACGAUAAUGACGGUACCUGAGGAGGAAGCCACGGCUAACUACGUGCCAGCAGCUGC
rnacentral:rRNA from 1 species